rnacentral:rRNA from 1 species
UACGGGGGGGGCAAGCGUUGUUCGGAAUUACUGGGUUUAAAGGGUGCGUAGGUGGGCAGGUAAGUCAGUGGUGAAAUCUCCGGGCUUAACUCGGAAACUGCCAUUGAUACUAUCUGUCUUGAAUAUCCUGGAGGUAAGCGGAAUAUGUCAUGUAGCGGUGAAAUGCUUAGAUAUGACAUAGAACACCCAUUGCGAAGGCAGCUUACUACGGGAUUAUUGACACUGAGGCACGAAAGCGUGGGGAUCAAACAGG